AUUUUUGAGCUUUGGUUUGAGAUUUUUAUCAUAUGCUAUCACUGUUUUGGACACAUGAAGAUAUGUUGUGACAAUUUGUGUCACAUUUUUGGUAUUCAAUUUGUGCAUUUUUGUUUACCUAUCAUUUGAGCUCUUCUGGAUUUGAUUUUUUGCACAUUGCUUGUACAUAACAUGAUUAGCUUGUAUAAAAAAUUUCAUGAUCAUUGGAUGCUUUUCUGUUUUGAUUUGGAUUUUC
rnacentral:lncRNA from 1 species